rnacentral:tRNA from 2 species
CGGGACGUGGCGCAGUCUGGUAGCGCACCUCGUUCGGGACGAGGGGGUCGGUGGUUCGAAUCCACUCGUCCCGACCA